UUCCAGAGACCUGUCCCCUAGGGUUUAAAAGCGCUUCCCCAGGGAACUUCGCUUUCAGUUCUCUAGGAAGUUCGGAGCUGCUAGAACCCAGACACUUGCUGAACGCAGGCUGCCUGUGGGACGUUAAGGGAAUAUAAUUUUGUGGGGCCACCUAAUCUAGUAGAAUGAAACAUUGACUGAUUGAUUGGAUGCAAUGUGUGGCAGAUAAGGAAGCAUUGCAGUGAUUUCCAAAGAUUUUCAUCUGAGCACUUGGAUGAGUGGAUUUGUCAUUAAUGAGAGAAACGAGAUAUCAAGGAGAGCCUGUGCCAGCGCUGCACACGGAGAGUGUGAGAAAGCCACGGGAGUGUCGUCAGCUUCCAUAAAGGUUGGCGUUUCUCUGAGGACCAACUCUAGGACACUGUCUUGAGGAGAAGAUGUCUCUCUUUAGAGGAGAUGAAAACUAACUAGGAACAAUACUGGCCCUGACUCUAUUUUACUGAGAACUAUAAAUGAUUUUGCCUUAAUUAAAUAUGGGUAGUAAAGGAAAAAGUAUUUUGGGGUCACAAGCAAUCAUGUGUGUAUGAAUUGAUUUACCAUAAAGCACUAGGUGGGUCUGUGUUCUACAAAUACCUCCUUGACAGUGUCGUUCCUCCAUGACUCAGGUCCCUUCAGUAUCUUCAUUAAACUUCUGAUCUUAGGAAAAAGUUGAAUUACCACAAAUGGGGUUUGGACAUUGGUGACAAGUGGGUUUCAUAACUCUUGUGAACAUUUGCAGACGGGACUUUGAAGAAGGAUCAGGACUUAGCCAACUGGGUACUCUAAUCCUGUAAAUUGGAAUCAAAAGCAAAGAAUUUAAAUAAUGCAAAGAAGCAAGGGA